CCUACGGGUGGCAGCAGUGAGGAAUAUUGGUCAAUGGGCGCGAGCCUGAACCAGCCAAGUCGCGUGAAGGAUGACUGCCCUAUGGGUUGUAAACUUCUUUUAUAAAGGAAUAAAACGAGGCACGUGUGCCUUUUUGCAUGUACUUUAUGAAUAAGGAUCGGCUAACUCCGUGCCAGCAGCCGCGGUAAUACGGAGGAUCCGAGCGUUAUCCGGAUUUAUUGGGUUUAAAGGGUGCGUAGGUGGGUUGUUAAGUUAGUUGUGAAAGUUUGCGGCUCAACCGGAAAAUUGCAUUUGAUACUGGCAGACUUGAGAACAGUUGAGGUAGGUGGAAUUCGUGGUGUAGCGGUGAAAUGCUUAGAUAUCACGAAGAACCCCGAUUGCGAAGGCAGCUUACUAAACUAUAACUGACAUUGAUGCUCGAAAGUGUGGGUAUCAAACAGGAUUAGAUACCCGAGUAGUC
rnacentral:rRNA from 1 species